rnacentral:rRNA from 1 species
GCCAGACUCCUACGGGAGGCAGCAGUGGGGAAUAUUGGGCAAUGGGCGCAAGCCUGACCCAGCAACGCCGCGUGAAGGAAGAAGGCUUUCGGGUUGUAAACUUCUUUUAUCAGGGACGAAGCAAGUGACGGUACCUGAUGAAUAAGCCACGGCUAACUACGUGCCAGCAGCCGCGGUAAUACGUAGGUGGCAAGCGUUAUCCGGAUUUACUGGGUGUAAAGGGCGUGUAGGCGGGAGUGCAAGUCAGGUGUGAAAUCUAUGGGCUCAACCCAUAGCCUGCAUUUGAAACUGUACUUCUUGAGUGCUGGAGAGGCAAUCGGAAUUCCGUGUGUAGCGGUGAAAUGCGUAGAUAUACGGAGGAACACCAGUGGCGAAGGCGGAUUGCUGGACAGUAACUGACGCUGAGGCGCGAAAGCGUGGGGAGCAAACAGGAUUAGAUACCCCCGUAC